UCUGGGCAGUUGGGCGGCCAGCCUGUGGGGGCCGGCCCUGGAGCAAGCGACCGAGCCUUUGGGGCGCUACGGCAGAGGUGGGGGCGGCGGGGGUGCCGCCGCGGCGGAAGAAGGAGCGAGGCCCAGAGCACCGGGCCCUCUUCAACCUGGGGCCCUGGGUGAAGUGCUCUGCCGCCCUUGCCUCUAGAGUUGUCUUGAAU